rnacentral:misc_RNA from 1 species
AACGCACAUUGCGCCCCUUGGUAUUCCGAGGGGCAUGCCUGUCCGAGCGUCAUUUCAACCCUCAAGCAUGGCUUGGUCUUGGGCUUCGCUGCUAACCCAGCGGGUCUUAAAAUCAGUGGCGGUGCCGUCGGGCCCUGAGCGUAGUACAUCUCCUCGCUAUAGGGUCCUGGCGGAUACUGGCCAUCAACCCCCAAUUUUCUAUGGUUGACCUCGGAUCAGGUAGGGAUACCCGCUGAACUUAA